UUUAUUGUUUAUUUCUAAUUUUUCUUUAAAUUGAUUUAUCUUGUUUAAUAAUUUUUGUUCUUUAUUUUUUUCUUCUUUUUCUUUUUGUCUUUUUUCAUACAAAUCUUUUAGUAUUUGUAGUUCUUUUUCUAAUUCAGCAAUCCUACUAUUUUUAGUUUCUUCUAUUUUUCUUAUUUCUUCUGUACUUUGUUGUUUUAUUUUUUUCUAUUUCCUUUUUUCUAUCUAUUUCUUCAUUUUCUUUUUUUAUUCUUACCAUAGCUGUCAAUUUAUCUUCUAAUUUUAAUUCUUCCUUUUCUAACAUUAAAUAUAAAUGUUCACCUAUUUUUUUGUACCUUCUUCCUAGAUU
rnacentral:lncRNA from 1 species